GCUCCGGUGGUGUAAUGGUGGAACACGCCUCCCCGGAUAGGAUGAAACGCAGGUUCGAUUCGGGGCUGAGGCU